UGUGCUCUUCUGAUGUAUUUGCUCUCAGUGGAUAGAAGACCUCAUCGCCAUCCAAUCACCAAGACCACCCCUAAGAGACCCACCUUGCUCACACCAAAACAGUCCCUUGCCCUGGACCUGACAUCCUGGACUCGUUCUGUUUAUCACUUGUGGCUGAGUGUAACCAGUAUACAAUAAAUCAUACCUUCUGCU